rnacentral:rRNA from 1 species
GUGGGGAAUAUUGGACAAUGGGGGGAACCCUGAUCCAGCCAUGUCGCGUGUGUGAAGAAGGCCUUUUGGUUGUAAAGCACUUUAAGCGAGGAGGAGGCUACCGAGAUUAAUACUCUUGGAUAGUGGACGUUACUCGCAGAAUAAGCACCGGCUAACUCUGUGCCAGCAGCCGCGGUAAUACAGAGGGUGCAAGCGUUAAUCGGAUUUACUGGGCGUAAAGCGCGCGUAGGUGGCCAAUUAAGUCAAAUGUGAAAUCCCCGAGCUUAACUUGGGAAUUGCAUUCGAUACUGGUUGGCUAGAGUAUGGGAGAGGAUGGUAGAAUUCCAGGUGUAGCGGUGAAAUGCGUAGAGAUCUGGAGGAAUACCGAUGGCGAAGGCAGCCAUCUGGCCUAAUACUGACACUGAGGUGCGAAAGCAUGGGGAGCAAACAGGAUUAGAAACCCCGGUAGUCC